rnacentral:rRNA from 1 species
AACGAACGCUGGUGGUAUGCUUAAUACAUGCAAGUCGAACGGGCAUAGCAAUAUGUCAGUGGCAAACGGGUGAGGAAUAUAUAGGAACCUCCCUAGCAGUAAGGAAUAACUUUGGGAAACCAAAGCUAAUGCCAUAUAUUACCCCUUAAGAAAUUAAGGGGGAAAGACUUAUCGCUGUUAGAUGGGCCUGUAUCAGAUUAGCUAGUUGGUAGGGUAAUGGCCUACCAAGGCAAUGAUCUGUAGCUGGUCUGAGAGGAUGAUCAGCCACACUGGAACUGAGACACGGUCCAGACUCCUACGGGAGGCAGCAGUAGGGAAUAUUGGACAAUGGGCGCAAGCCUGAUCCAGCAAUACCACGUGAGUGAUGAAGGUCUUCGGAUUGUAAAGCUCUUUUAGUAGGGAAGAUAAUGACGGUACCUACAGAAAAAGCACCGGCUAACUUCGUGCCAGCAGCCGCCGUAA